ensembl:lncRNA
CUUUGUAGAAAAGAGAAUUAUUUCUAUCUGUCUAAUGGGUCAGAGAAACCCAGUAAAGCAGGGUUAUAAAAAAUAUUAUUAUUUGAAUAAUAAUGUAAAAAUAAGGGAAUAUUUCUCUUAUAUAGCCACUUAUUUGUGUAGGCCUGAUUAAAAUAGAAAGUGGUUCUGCUUUAGACUUUGAUCCUUAGAGCAACUAUAUAUCUGAUAAUAUAGCUUUAAGACAAAUAUAUUUUUGAGCAAUGUAUAAACAAUACAUGUAUCCUUGACUUGUUUAGCACUAAAGGGUUUUUUUUCUCUUCUUUUUGUUCUUUAACUUAGAAAACCUGUAUUGAUCACAGCUGCACUAAUAACAGAGGAAGUCAUUCAGAAAAACAAGUGGCCAACAGGGGAAAGUUGUGGUUCCCUAAACAGAAGACUUCAUUCUGGAAAAACAGCCUUUACUCCAAGGAAUGCAGUCAUCUUACCUCAUUGGAGUUGUUAUAGAAAAACUCAUCCUCAUCACCAGAAUUCUCUCAAGGGGACCUGACUCCUGUCUUAUCACUUAUGUAAAAUCAAGAUCUUUUCUACUGAAGGUGAGUCAGUUAUGCUGUGUAGAAGAGGUGAAGGUAAGAAAAAAUGAUUGGUUAUUCUACUCUUGUUUGAUCGUGGCACAUUAUGUUGUGGGAGACAGUGGAGUUAUAAUUGUUUCUGAUCUGGUUUUAGAUGGAUAUUUGUCAACCAAUUAAAAACAAAUACUUGAUGUUCUGUACUAACUUAAGAAAUUGUAUAAUCCUUCCUGAAACAUCUACUUCUCUUCCUCCUUGAUAAUAUCACCUUCUAAUGUGAGUAAAAGCAGUAUUUACUUCCAUUCUUUAGUUCUGUUGAUUUGUUUGUCAACAAUCCAGCAAUAUGUUGCAUUUUCUACAUAUGUAUACCCUAAUAGAUGUGUCUCUAACCAAGCUGAAUGUAACUAGUUGACAUAAGUAAUUUUUUCUUCAUUAUAGCAAAUACUAAACUCUGAAAUCAGGUAGCUAUGCAUGGAGUGCUGCCAGACUUUCAUUACUGGAUACAUUGUUUUCUCAUCUUUUAUGCACAUUUGUAUAGUCUAUUUGGUUGAGUUGUGGAGUUGAACUGAGGAACUUGGUCUGUUUCCUUUCAUUGUGAUGAAGGGAUGAAACAACAUUAGUGGAAAUGAGCUGAAUAUUUGAAAAUCAUUCUAUAUCUGUCUGUAUUAACUAAUCUGUCUUAGUUUGCAUUGCCCCAUUACCUUUUGCACUGUAACUUUUAUUCUUGUUUUGGUGUUUGAAUUCUAUCUAUUUGUAUUUGAUCAACAGCAGGUUACAAUGUGGCUUUCUGCUUGUUGUAAUGGUCUGUACUCUGUCUCCCCAAAUACACAGCACAUGGACACACAUACUCAUAAGUAGAAAACAUCAUCAUUCAUCCUUCUCCUUAGCAUGCAUAUAGUUUAAUUAUACCCAGUUAGUCAGAGAUGGCAUUCUGGGGAUUCUCAGUUGGGUUUGGGAUGAAAACUGAUGUCUGUACCAUUGGAGCCAAUUGAAUAAGUAAGGGCAGUAUUAGGACUUAAACUGUCUCAAAUUGUAUCUUUCUGACCAAAAGAGCAGGAUCUGCUGGUUGAUAUCAAUGUGAAAUAUGGUGUAAACUGAUUUAGUUAAACAACACUUAUGUCUCUACAUUUGUUAUAUUGGGCACUCUACUAGCGAGGUUAGCAACUUGCUGUCUGUAUUCCAGGCAAUCAUGGAGGAUUCAUACAAAAAAAAAUAAAAAUGAAUGAAUAUAACUGAGGAAAUAAUGU